AGUGGACUUUAAACUUUUUUGCUGUUAGUUCACAGAGUCACAGGCUUCAGGGCACUGGACUGAGUAGAAUGAGGCCUGGGAGGCAGCUGCCUGCUGUGCAGGGUGUGUCUGAGGCUCCUUGAGCCCCAACAGAUCGAAAUUGGCGUCUCCGUGCCUCCUGGAUCCUCUCUGCUCACAGCGUUCCUGCAGCCUGACCCCACUGAACCCUCCAGUCUUGGGGAGCAGUGCCUCUCAGGUCCUGCCGCCCAGGUCCCAGCGUUCAGAAUGAACGCUGGGGCCAUAGAUGGUUGUGAAAAAAAGAGGGACAUUUUCUGAGGUAGGGUUCUAACUUUUCCUACCAUUGCUCAGAGGAAGAACAGACUAGAAGACAGAGGACAACAGCUGUGGACAAGAAGGGGAAGUCCUCGAAAUGACAAGGCAGUCCUCGGGCUACGUCAGACUCAACGUACGUUGUCAUUUUUGUGGUUACGUCGCUAUCGCCCAUUUAUUUAUAAAAAGAAAAGUUCUGUCAUUUCAAUGUAUGUACAUAUGUGCUUUAUGUUUUUUAUUAUUCAUUUACCACAAAUAAAG